AUCCUUCAGUUCAUGAGUGUGAUGACUGAGUGUUUAUGCUGUGGUGCAUGAGAUGUGCCUCCCACAAACCUUGUUACGACACUGGCACAUUACCCAUCUGACG
ensembl:snoRNA